rnacentral:rRNA from 1 species
GACGAACGCUGGCGGCGUGCUUAACACAUGCCAGUCGAACGGAAAGGCCCUGCUUUUGUGGGGUGCUCGAAUGGCGAACGGGUGAGUAACACGUGAGUAACCUGCCCUUGACUUUGGGAUAACUUCAGGAAACUGGGGCUAAUACCGGAUAGGAGCUCCUGCUGCAUGGUGGGGGUUGGAAAGUUUCGGCGGUUGGGGAUGGACUCGCGGCUUAUCAGCUUGUUGGUGGGGUAGUGGCUUACCAAGGCUUUGACGGGUAGCCGGCCUGGGAGGGUGGCCGGCCACAUUAGGACUGAGAUACGGCGCAGACGGCUACGGGAGGCAGCAGGGGGGAAUAUUGCGCAAUGGGCGGAAGCCUGAUGCAGCAACGCCGCGUGCGGGAUGACGGCCUUCGGGUUGUAAACCGCUUUCGCCUGUGACGAAGCGUGAGUGACGGUAAUGGGUAAAGAAGCACCGGCUAACUACGUG